GAGUCUCCCGCCGCGGCGCAUGCGAGGCCGCGCGACAUAUCCCCUACCCCCGUACUGCAGGCCGCAGACGGAGACAGUGCAGCCCAGCGCGCUGCUGGGUUGCCCGAGGUCUCGGCCGCAGCGGGUCGGGAACACGCGGCGCGCGCCCGCGCCCCAACCGGAAGUCCGCCACCGGCCGCUCUAGCACGCGUCAGGGUUGCGUCGGUGGCCUUAACCCUUCCCAAGGCUGCGCCGCCCGCCUUUGUCUUCGCGGAGCGCCACAAAGGUUGGAAGGGUCGCGGGGCCUGUGGGUGCCGAGCUGCAGAGGCCUCCACUGCGAGCACAGCCCUGAGACAGGGCCCAGGCGCCCAGCGGGGCUGGUUUCACUCGGUCCAGCCGCACCUACCCGUGCCCUCACCAGAUCUUAAGAUACAGACAUUAAAACCUCCACCGGGCCGCGGCACAGGACAGCAGAGUUUUACUUUCUGUUUUUGGCAUUGCAUUGCCUCCAUUUCCUAGAGUGCACGUAAUAAAUACCGCUGGUGAUUCCAAAAUAUAAAGGUUGAAAAUAUUUACUUGACAAAAAUUUGGUUCCCAUACUGCUUUUAAGGCCAUCCUCUGCACUUGGUUCCCGCUGCUCCUGAUGUGGUUGAAAGAUGGAUGACCCCAAAGACGAGGAAAAGAUUAUUGGCUCCAUUUUUUAGAUGCGGCAGCCAGCUAAGGUCUAGACAGGGGAAGGGACUUGCCCCAAAUCACAGUUGGAGCAAAUCAGUCUGAAUCAGGAAUAACUCCAUUCCUAUCCCGCAUCCUGCCCUUUCACUACGCCACAGCUGCCUGGCUGCCUGGAGGAACAAAGGAGGGCCGGGCAAGAACGCCAUUACCAACUGCAAAUCCACAGGCAAAUGCAAGAGGACGGAAAGCGCUGCGAAUACGAGUGGGUCUCCACCACCAGAAUGGCUAAAGUGAAAGAGACCGCACCAUGUGGAGGCGAGAAAGUAGAGCGACUGGACCUCUGUUGUAUUUCUGGGGGAGUGUAAAUUGGUAGAGACAUUUUGGAAAACUGUCAGUUUUCUAAUGAAGCCGAACAUAUGCCACCUCUGUGAUCCAGCAGUUCCACUCCUAGGCUGUCAACACCCAGCAGAAAUGUGUAGGUGUGAGCAUCAAGAGGGUGCAUGGGAACGUUCAGAGCCCUUUCAUAACAGCCCCAAACUGGAAAUAACCCAUCAACAGAAUGGAAAAUGAAUGAUGCCCUACUCAUUACCAUGCACAUAGACACAGCAACGGGAUUGACAUGCCCGGCUAUACACAGCAAAAUAGACAAGUCGCAUGAUGAAAUCUUGAGUGAGAGAAGCCAAAUACAACAGUACAUACUAGAUGGUUCCAGGUGUAUUACGUUCAGAACCAGACAAAACUAAUUUAUAGUGCACCAAAGUCAAGAUAGUGGUCGCCCU
rnacentral:antisense_RNA from 1 species